rnacentral:rRNA from 1 species
UAGGGAAUAUUGGGCAAUGGUCGAGAGACUGACCCAGCCAUGCCGCGUGCAGGAUGAAGGCUUUCUGAGUCGUAAACUGCUUUUAUCAGGGAAGAAUAAGGGCUAUGCGUAGUCCGAUGACGGUACCUGAGGAAUAAGCACCGGCUAACUCCGUGCCAGCAGCCGCGGUAAUACGGAGGGUGCGAGCGUUGUCCGGAUUUAUUGGGUUUAAAGGGUGCGUAGGCGGCCAAAUAAGUCUGGGGUGAAAGCCCGCUGCUCAACAGCGGAACUGCCCUGGAUACUGUAUGGCUUGAGGACAGACGAGGUUGGCGGAAUAGAGGGUGUAGCGGUGAAAUGCAUAGAUACCCUCUAGAACCCCGAUUGCGAAGGCAGCUGACUAGACUGUAUCUGACGCUGAGGCACGAAAGCGUGGGGAGCGAACAGG